rnacentral:lncRNA from 1 species
AGAUUUGAUCAAAUCUACACUAAUGCAUCUUCCAUAAUAAUAUCUUCAAACAACUUAAUAUUUUUUUUAAUUAAUUUUCCUUAAUCUGAUUUUUAAAUGAAAUAUUUUAAUGCUGAAAAACAACUUUCCUUAUAUUUCGAGCUUGCUAUUAAUCACCAUCACAACUACAUUCUGAUUUCAUAUCUUAACUAAGUAACUGAUUCAACAAACUACU